AGAGUUUGAUCCUGGCUCAGGAUAAACGCUGGCGGCGCACAUAAGACAUGCAAGUCGAACGGACUUAACUCAUUCUUUUUAGAUUGAGAGCGGUUAGUGGCGGACUGGUGAGUAACACGUAAGCAACCUGCCUAUCAGAGGGGAAUAACAGUGAGAAAUCAUUGCUAAUACCGCAUAUGCUCACAGUAUCACAUGAUACAGUGAGGAAAGGAGUAAUCCGCUGAUAGAUGGGCUUGCGUCUGAUUAGUUAGUUGGUGGGGUAACGGCCUACCAAGACUACGAUCAGUAGCCGGACUGAGAGGUUGAACGGCCACAUUGGGACUGAGAUACGGCCCAGACUCCUACGGGAGGCAGCAGUCGGGAAUAUUGCGCAAUGGAGGAAACUCUGACGCAGUGACGCCGCGUAUAGGAAGAAGGUUUUCGGAUUGUAAACUAUUGUCAUUAGGGGGGAUAAAAGACUGUACCUAAGGAGGAAGCCCCGGCUAACUAUGUG
rnacentral:rRNA from 1 species